GAUUUUCAUAAUCAAUCCUAGUUAUUUAAGUUUUAAUAAGAUGCCCAUGCUAGCAACUUGUCUUUAUCUAUGGCAAGCAGCUAGCAUGGAGACAAUGCGAUGCUAUGGCAAACGGGUGCUUUAUCUGACAAAUCCUUAGAGAGGGCUACACGUUUUAAAGGAUAACUCGUAGUACAAAAAGGGAGUUUUUUAGUUGGUAAGAAUUCAACACUACCUAGAGUUCGGAACACUGGGUGUCUUCGCGAAGAUUUUUUAUUUCUCCGGCCACCGGGCAAACAAAAAAAAAUAAGUAUCGCAUUGCGAUGGACACAUACGAUUUUUGACGUGUCAGAAACAAGUCUUCAAGACUUGUCUCUGGUACCUUCUUACUAUAGUCUAUAGUAUUUGCUGUUAUCCACUACUAUCCUACUGUAUGGUUAUUUUAUGGGCUCUAAUUCCAUUGUUAAUUUUUGUAUAUCAAAAAUUUGGCAGGAGGCAUUGGGAAUUAAAUUUUCGGGUCUUACGCUGCAAAAUUACAGGUUAUGCAAUAAUCACUUUUCGGAAAGUUGUUAUGCAAAUUCUAAGGAUUUGAGACUUGUUCGUAACGCAGUUCCAAAUAGAUUUAUUGAAAUUGAGUGUACCGGGGGGGAAAGCUCUAUGGAAAAUGUAGCACCAGUUAUUCCUGAUAAUUGGGUGGAAAAUGUUCCAUUAACUACAUGUGAUAUGACUGAUAAAUGCCAGCCAGGCACAUCGAAUCAACCUCCAGUAACUCCUACUAGAAAGUUGUUUCGAAGUGUUGAAGGGUUGAGCAAUAUAGAAAAUUCCCCAAAGAAAUUAAAAAUAAUUCGCAUAAUCAACCGAAAAGAAAAUCAGUUGAGAAAAGUGAAACGUUUGUGUAAGAAGAGAGGCAAUGACAUUAAAGCUUUGGCAAAUUUAUCGGAGUCAGCUGUAGUUCACGGAUUGUUUCAAGACAUGUCAUCAUUGACCUCAAAUUUUCUGUUGGCUCAAAUUAGAUGCUCAAAAAGCAAAGGGUCGAAAGAAAGAAGAUGGACUUUUGAUGAUAAAGUUAUGGCUCUUGCUAUUUAUAAAAAAAGUCCUAAAUGCUACCGAAUGCUCCAAAAAUUUGUAUGGUUACCUAGCAAAAA